ensembl:snRNA U6 U6 spliceosomal RNA
GUGUUCAUUUCAGCAACACAUUACUAAAUUUGAAAGACACACAGAAGAUUGGUGUGGUUCCUGAGGAAGGAUGACUCACAAAUUUGUGAAGAAUUGGAAUUAUAA